UACGAAGGGGGCUAGCGUUGCUCGGAAUCACUGGGCGUAAAGCGCACGUAGGCGGGCUCUUAAGUCGGUGGUGAAAUCCUGGAGCUCAACUCCAGAACUGCCUCCGAUACUGAGAGUCUUCGAGUCCGAUAGAGGUGGGUGGAAUUCCUAGUGUAGAGGUGAAAUUCGUAGAUAUUAGGAAGAACACCGGUGGCGAAGGCGGCCCACUGGAUCGGUACUGACGCUGAGGUGCGAAAGCGUGGGGAGCAAACAGG
rnacentral:rRNA from 1 species